rnacentral:rRNA from 1 species
GACGAACGCUGGCGGCGUGCUUAACACAUGCAAGUCGAACGGAGUGGCGGACAGGUGAGUAACACAUGGGUGACCUGCCAUGCACUUAGGGAUAAGCCUGGGCAACUGGGUAUAAUACCGGAUAGUGUGGGAUGGGCACGCGGCCUCUCAUCGUGUUGGUGGUGUAAUGGCCUCCCACGGCGGCGACGUGUCGCCGGCCUGGUAGGGUGGACGGCCACAUUUGGACUGAGACCCGGCCCCGACUCCUACUGGACGCAUGAGUUGGGAAUUAUGCACAAUGGGCGGAAGCCUGUUGAAGCGACGCCGCGUGGGGGAUGACGGUCUUCUGGUUGUAAACUCCUUUCACCAUCGACGCGGUAGAUGUAGAAGAAGCACCGGCUAACUACGUGCCAGCAGCCGCGGUAAUAC